UGGCAGAACUGAAAUUGAAAACCAAGCCUGUCUGAAUCCAGUAUCUGAUUUCUCAACAACUCCUGCCUCAGAAACACUUGGAACUUUAUGGAGCUUCUACAGCCACAUUCAUAGCAGUAAGUGCUGAGAAUGUGUAGAAGGCCAAAA